AUACGUAGGGGGCGAGCGUUGUCCGGAAUGAUUGGGCGUAAAGGGCGCGUAGGCAGCCCGGUAAGUCUGGAGUGAAAGUCCUGUCUUUGAGAUGGGAAUUGCUUUGGAUACUGUCGGGCUUGAGUGCAGGAGAGGUAAGUGGAAUUCCCAGUGUAGCGGUGAAAUGCGUAGAGAUUGGGAGGAACACCAGUGGCGAAGGCGACUUACUGGACUGUAACUGACGCUGAGGCGCGAAAGUGUGGGGAGCAAACAGGAUUAGAUACCCUGGUAGUCCACACUGUAAACGAUGAAUGCUAGGUGUAGGGGGUAUCGACCCCUUCUGUGCCGCAGUCAACACAAUAAGCAUUCCGCCUGGGGAGUACGGCCGCAAGGUUGAAACUCAAAGGAAUUGACGGGG
rnacentral:rRNA from 1 species